rnacentral:rRNA from 1 species
UACGGAGGGGGCUAGCGUUGUCCGAAGUUACUGGGCGUAAAGGGCGUGUAGGCGGUCUGUUAAGUCUGGCGUGAAAGCUCUCGGCUAAACCGGGAGAGGUCGUUGGAUACUGGCAGACUAGAGGACGGUAGAGGCGUGUGGAAUUCCGGGUGUAGUGGUGAAAUGCGUAGAGAUCCGGAGGAACACCAGUGGCGAAGGCGACACGCUGGGCCGUACCUGACGCUAAAGCGCGACAGCAUGGGGAGCAAACGGG